UUUUUAUGUAUGGAUUUACUUUUUGUUGACUUUUCAGAUAUUGAAAAGUUACUUUAUAUUGUCACGUAAAAUUUGUAUUGAUGGAAUGCUGGGACAUUUUGCAAAACUACUGAAACAUUUAUUUACAUCUAUUACUAUUAUUUAGUCAGCUGCCAAAUUUCAAGAAAAAAGAUUAUGUAGCAGAUAAUUUUAAAAGUGUAGCCGUUUUGGUACCUAAAAUUUGUUUUCACAAAUUCCGCGAUGGGUGUUAUUGUGGAUGGGGGGGAGUCGGAAUGUAUAUAACAAUAACACUGUUAUUAUUAUUGUUACUGUUAUUAUGUGCACAACAAUAUGGUUUAAAUAUUCUUUUAGAUAAAAAGCAGAUAUUAUUUGUUGAUCAUAAAUAAUGAUAUCAAUGAACAUGCAAAUAGAAAAAGAAGAACGAAUGGAACAACAACAAGUAAAUUUUUAUGUCUCUUUUGGUAACAUCUUCAUCGACAAAUACAG